UGGGGAAUCUUGGUCAAUGGGCGCAAGCCUGAACCAGCGAUGCCGCGUGAGUGAUGAAGGCCUUCGGGUUGUAAAGCUCUGUGGGGAGGGACGAAAGAGUCUGUUCUAACAGGACAGAUGUUGACGGUACCUCCUUAGCAAGCACCGGCUAACUCUGUGCCAGCAGCCGCGGUAAGACGGAGGGUGCAAACGUUGCUCGGAAUCACUGGGCGUAAAGGGCGUGUAGGCGGGAAGGUAAGUCGGGCGUGAAAUCCCUGAGCUCAACUCAGGAACUGCACUCGAAACUACUUUUCUUGAGUGCCGGAGAGGAAAGCGGAAUUCCUGGUGUAGAGGUGAAAUUCGUAGAUAUCAGGAGGAACACCAGCGGCGAAGGCGGCUUUCUGGACGGUAACUGACGCUGAGACGCGAAAGCGUGGGGAGCAAACAGGAUUAGAUACCCUGGUAGUCCACGCUGUAAACGAUGAGUGCUAGGUGUCGU
rnacentral:rRNA from 1 species